GGAGUAGGUGAGGUGGUUACGGGUUAGCCGGGCAGACACUGUCAGGCUGAUUCGAGGAAAGUCCGGGCUCCCGAAAGACCAGGCUUGCUGGGUAACGCCCAGUGCGGGUGACCGUGAGGAUAGUGCCACAGAAAUAUACCGCCAGUUUGUCAUGGGUCAUUUGUCAUGGGUCAUGGGUUCGGAACGGACCCCCACAAAUGACAAAUGACGGAUGACUAAUAUGGUAAGGGUGCAAAGGUGCGGUAAGAGCGCACCAGCGACAUCGAGAGGUGUCGGCUCGGUAAACCCCGGUUGGGAGCAAGGUCGGAGGAACCAGGGUUGGUCUUUUUCCAGUUCCGUGUUUGGGUACCGCUAGAGGCGAUUGGUAACAGUCGUCCCAGAUAGAUAACCACCCUCCCGGUUUUCCGGGAGAACAGAACCCGGCUUACUUCCUGCUCUUCCC
rnacentral:RNase_P_RNA from 2 species